rnacentral:ncRNA from 1 species
ACUUUUUCUAUCAGGGAAAAGCUGAUAGAAAAGCUGAUAUCAGGGAAGAGCUUUCUGAAAAAGCUCUUUUUUCAAGUACUCUCAUUCCUUUUCACUGAUCCAGUGAGGCAGGGGCAGUGAAGUUGCUUCUGUCAACAAGCGCCAGUCUGAGUGCACUCGGAUGGAUGCGACCCACUCUGGGAACAGUGUCAGGUGAAAAAUCUGAUUAGAGAGGUACACCUGUCAAAUGGUAACACAGGCAUCCUAAUACAAGCUUAGGGAAGACAAAAACCUCCCAUGGUAAAAGCAAAAGCUUGAUUUUUGACUUCAGUAUGAAUACAGACUGUGUGAAUGGAAGUUUUCUCCUGGACCAAGAAAGG